CCCUUAGAUGUUCUGGGCCGCACGCGCGCUACACUGACGAAUGCAACGAGCUUAUAACCUUGGCCGAAAGGUCUGGGUAAUCUCCAAAUUUCGUCGUGAUGGGGAUAGAUUAUUGCAAUUAUUAAUCUUCAACGAGGAAUGCCUAGUAAGCGCAAGUCAUCAGCUUGCGUUGAUUACGUCCCUGCCCUUUGUACACACCGCCAGUCGCUCCUACCGAUUGAAUGGUCCGGUGAAGCGCUCGGACCGCGGCCUCUUGACGGUUCGCUGUCGAUUGGCUGUGGGAAGUUCGUUAAACCUUAUCAUUUAGAGGAAGGAGAANUCGUANCA
rnacentral:rRNA from 1 species